rnacentral:rRNA from 1 species
CCUACAGGCGGCAGCAGUAGGGAAUUUUCGGCAAUGGGGGGAACCCUGACCGAGUAACGCCGCGUGAAGGAAGAAGGAAUUCGUUCUGUAAACUUCUGUUAUAAAGGAAGAAAAACGGAUGGAGGAAAUGACAUCCGAGUGACGGUACUUUAUGAGAAAGCCACGGCUAACUACGUGCCAGCACCCGCGGUAAUACGUAGGUGGCAAGCGUUAUCCGGAAUUAUUGGGGUAAAAGAGGGAGCAGGCGGCAGCAAAGGUCUGUGGUGAAAGACUGAGGCUUAACUUCAGUCAGCCAUAGAAACUGGGCAGCUAGAGUGCCGGAGAGGAACGUGGAAUUCCAUGUGUAGCGGUGAAAUGCGUAGAUAUAUGGAGGAACACCAGUGGCGAAGGCGACGUUCUGGCCUGCAACUGACGCUCAGGCCCGAAAGCGUGGGGAGCAAACAGGAUUAGAUACCCGGGUAGUC